rnacentral:tRNA from 1 species
GAUGGGUUAGCUCAAAGGGUAGAGUUUUGUGUUAUGGACAUAAGGACACAAGUUCGAAUCUUGUACUCACUUU